ACAUGAGGAGCUUGCUCCUCUGACGUUAGCGGCGGACGGGUGAGUAACACGUGGAUAACCUACCUAUAAGACUGGGAUAACUUCGGGAAACCGGAGCUAAUACCGGAUAAUAUAUUGAACCGCAUGGUUCAAUAGUGAAAGACGGUUUUGCUGUCACUUAUAGAUGGAUCCGCGCCGCAUUAGCUAGUUGGUAAGGUAACGGCUUACCAAGGCAACGAUGCGUAGCCGACCUGAGAGGGUGAUCGGCCACACUGGAACUGAGACACGGUCCAGACUCCUACGGGAGGCAGCAGUAGGGAAUCUUCCGCAAUGGGCGAAAGCCUGACGGAGCAACGCCGCGUGAGUGAUGAAGGUCUUCGGAUCGUAAAACUCUGUUAUUAGGGA
rnacentral:rRNA from 1 species